AUACGGAGGGUGCGAGCGUUAUCCGGAUUUAUUAGGUUUAAAGGGUGUGUAGGCGGGAGCCUAAGUCAGUGGUGAAAUCUCACCGCUUAACUGUGAAACUGCCAUUGAAACUGGGUUUCUUGAGUAUAGUUGAGGUAGGCGGAAUGUGUAAUGUAGCGGUGAAAUGCAUAGAUAUUACACAGAACACCGAUUGCGAAGGCAGCUAACUAAGCUAUUACUGACGCUGAUGCACGAAAGCGUGGGUAGCGAACAGGAUUAGAUACCCGAGUAGUCC
rnacentral:rRNA from 1 species